rnacentral:rRNA from 1 species
GAUCGGGGAUAACGAACCUGGGAAACAGAUAGCUAAUACCGGAUAACAACAGAUGAUGCCUAUCAACUGUUUAAAGAUGUUCUGCUAUCACUCUUGGAUGGACCUGCGGUGCAUUAGCUAGUUGGUAGGGGUAACGGGCCUACCAAGGCGAUGAUACAUAGCCCGAGUUGAGAGACUGAUCGGCCACAUUGGGGACUGAGACACGGGCCCAAACUCCUACGGGAGGCAGCAGUAGGGAAUCUUCCACAAUGGACGCAAGUCUGAUGGAGCAAACGCCGCGUGAGUGAAGAAGGGUUUCGGCUCGUAAAAAGCUCUGUUGUUGGUGAAGAAGGACAGGGGUAGUAACUGACCCUUUGUUUGACGGUAAUCAAUUAGAAAGUCACGGGCUAACUACGUGCCAGCAGCCGCGGUAAAU